rnacentral:ncRNA from 1 species
GAGCACUACAAGCAACAGCUUAAAAUUCAAAGGACUUGGUGUGCUUACAUCCUUCGAGAGGAGCCUGUUCUACAACUGAUAAACUCCAGUACACCUCACCACCUCUUGCCCCCAGCCUAUAUACCGCCAUCUUCAGCAAACCCUAAAAAGGUCAGAGUAACCACAAGUACAUACAUACAAAGUUAGAUCAAGGUGUAGCCCAUGAGAUGUGAAGAAAUGGGCUACAUUUUCUAUACCCAGAAAAAGUCAUGAUAGACUUUAUGAAAUCUAAAGACUUAAGGAGGAUUUAGCAGUAAACCAAGAAUAGCGUGCUUGGUUGAAUAAGGCCAUGAAGCAAGCACACACCGCCCAUCACUCUCCUCGAGUGCUACUCUACAAAUCACUAUUACGGAUACUUUUCUUCACAUGUAUAGAGGAGACAAGUCAUAACAUGGAAAGUGUACUGGAAAGCGCACUUG